GACGAACGCUGGCGGCGUGCUUAACACAUGCAAGUCGAACGGGUCUGCCCUGUUUUUUGCGGGGUGGGUCAGUGGCGAACGGGUGAGUAACACGUGAGUAACCUGCCCCUCACUUCUGGAUAACCGCUUGAAAGGGUGGCUAAUACGGGGUGUUCUGGCUGUGCCGCAUGGUGUGGCUGGGAAAGAUUCACUUUUGUGGUGUUUUGGUGGGGGAUGGGCUCGCGGCCUAUCAGCUUGUUGGUGGGGUGAUGGCCUGCCAAGGCUUUGACGGGUAGCCGGCCUGAGAGGGUGGGCGGUCACACUGGGGCUGAGAUACGGCCCAGACUCCUGCGGGAGGCAGCAGUGGGGGGUAUUGCACAAUGGGCGGAAGCCUGAUGCAGCGACGGCGCGGGAGGGAUGGAGGCCUUCGGGUUGUGAACCUCUUUCGCCGGUGAAGAAGGUCCUGCUCUUUGUGGUGGGGUUGACGGUAGCCGGGUUAUGAAGCGCCGGCUAACUACGUG
rnacentral:rRNA from 1 species